AUACGGAGGGUGCGAGCGUUAAUCGGAAUUACUGGGCGUAAAGGGCACGCAGGCGGUUAAUUAAGUUGGAUGUGAAAUCCCCGGGCUUAACCUGGGAAUGGCAUUCAAGACUGGUUAGCUAGAGUCUUGUAGAGGGGGGUAGAAUUCCAUGUGUAGCGGUGAAAUGCGUAGAGAUGUGGAGGAAUACCGGUGGCGAAGGCGGCCCCCUGGACAAAGACUGACGCUCAUGUGCGAAAGCGUGGGGAGCAAACAGGAUUAGAUACCCUGGUAGUCCACGCUGUAAACGAUGUCGAUUUGGAGGUUGUGGUCUAGAACUGUGGCCUCCGGAGCUAACGCGUUAAAUCGACCGCCUGGGGAGUACGGCCGCAAGGUUAAA
rnacentral:rRNA from 1 species